GGGACACUAAGAGUGAUGCACACAGCUGGGAGACCAGGGGACACUAAAGAGUGACGCACACAGCUGGGAGACCAGGGGACACUAAAGAGUGACGCACACAGCUGGGAGACCAGGGGACACUAACAAGGGACGCACACAGCCGGGACCGGAGCGCUUGGUGACGUUCAGAAUUAUACAUUUGGACAACUGUCUGUCUGUCUCAUAAUAACUCUGUCGCUCCGGUAAUCCUCGCUGCUCCAUCAGGAGGAUUGUUCCUGUUGAAGCUCUGCACGUUGUUUUGGCCUCGUCUCUUCCUCCAGUCGCUCGUAAACUCAUCUGUUGGAUCUGAGGCUUAACUGGUGACGUUGUUAGAAACCUCCAUGUCAAAUGGAUGGAGAAUUUGUCCAUCACGAAUCUCUUUGCUGCCCCACUCAGGACACAGAUAAUGCAACGCCACCCUCUUCCUCGCUUGUGUAAAACAUCCUCGAGUUUGCUCUGGAUCAAAGCGAGAUCACACACAUCCUCAGUGAACCCCGGGCGCCGAGAGAGAAAAGGUUGGCGGCUGAAAGUGUUGGAGGUUUUUCUGCAGGGAGGAAAAAGAAGCUUUAGAGAGGGAGGAGGUCAGAGGGCCUCUUUAAUGACCGCUGUUCAACAAACACAGAGCAAGGUCGCCUCCUGAAGGUGGACGUGACGGCUGUGUGCAGGUUGGUGUGAAUAGAUUUCCUCCGGUGCUCUGACCCUCCUCCUGUGACCCAGCUGGUGAUUGUGUGAUGGAGCAGGUUUGAUCCCUGUGCUGAUGCUGGGCUUCUGAUGGACGAAUCUUCUUUGAUGCAGCGACAAGAUUGAAUCUCAACCCCCUCCUUCUGUCUGUGGCUUACAGUCGACCAAAUAGCACCAUCAGACCUUGCAUCCAAACCCUUCAAUAGUGUUUUAUCGUCAGAGAUUAUAGAUGUUUUAUCUCCUGUAUAUUUUCUACUUUUAAUGCUAUUUUAAUUCUAUUUUAAAUGUCUGCUAUCAUGCUAUUUUUAGGCAUAUAUUAUGGGUCUCAGAUAUAUACAAAU